rnacentral:rRNA from 1 species
UAUUGGACAAUGGGGGCAACCCUGAUCCAGCGAUGCCGCGUGUGCGAAGAAGGCCUGCGGGUUGUAAAGCACUUUAGGUGGGAAAGAAAUGCGAUUGUCGAAUAGACAAUUGAGCUGACGUUACCCACAGAAUAAGCACCGGCAAACUCUGUGCCAGCAGCCGCGGUAAUACAGAGGGUGCAAGCGUUAAUCGGAAUUACUGGGCGUAAAGGGCGCGUAGGCGGAUCAUUAAGUUAGAUGUGAAAUACCUGGGCUUAACCUAGGAAGUGCAUUUAAAACUGAUGUCCUAGAGUACUGUAGAGGUCAGUGGAAUUUCCGGUGUAGCGGUGAAAUGCGUAGAUAUCGGGAAGAACACCAAUGGCGAAGGCAACUGACUGGACAGCUACUGACGCUGAGGCGCGAAAGCAUGGGAAGCAAACA